UACGUAGGAGGCGAGCGUUGUCCGGAAUUACUGGGCGUAAAGCGCACGUAGGCGGCUUUGUAAGUUAGAGGUGAAAGCCCGGGGCUCAACUCCGGAAUUGCCUUUAAGACUGCAUCGCUCGAAUUGUGGAGAGGUAAGUGGAAUUCCGAGUGUAGAGGUGAAAUUCGUAGAUAUUCGGAAGAACACCAGUGGCGAAGGCGGCCGGCUGGGGGCGCCCUGACGCUGAGGCGCGAGAGCGUGGGGAGCAAACCGG
rnacentral:rRNA from 1 species